rnacentral:lncRNA from 1 species
GUUUCUUCAUCGUUUUAUUUUAUUUACCCCCCUAACCCAUUAUCAACAUGUUUCUCUUCCACUUCAAUAUCAAUUAAUACUCUUAUUCGUAAGUCAGAUUCCACUAUGUUCUAUAUGAGGCGAUCCUAUGUAGGGGAUAUAUGGGUUUAUGAACAAGUGUUUUAAAUGAUCUUGAUCUGGCAGUCUGAAACAAAACAUUUCUUGUGCCUUUUGCGAUUCAGAUGAACUUUAGUCUCGUUGAUUGGUUAAUUAAAUGGUUUGAACCUGGUUUUUACGCAUGAUGAUAAUUUGAUAUAACAAUGGUUGUGAUUUAAUUUCCGAUUAAUUUUCAAUGAUACUGUUUUUUGGUGUUAUGUGAAUUUGUUGAGGAAAAAAAGAAGGCAACAAAUUAGAGUCUCUGAUUCACUUAUUUGAUGAUUCUGGCAUUUGCUUGUUUUAUGAGGCUUUUGCAUUCAGAUGCUCAUGCUCCUACAUAUUCACAUUUUUUCUCAUAUUAAUGUUAAAAUACCUUAAAAUAAGGUUCUGUUUUUUGUUUUGGUUUUUAUGGUGACAUUUAGUGCAAAGUUUUGUUCGUUUUUAAUUACCUAAGGUAGAAUAUCUAAAUGGUUAAAGCCAAUUUGC